GACAGAGGUGCCGAGCGUUAGGCGGAAUCACUGGGCUUAAAGCGCGUGUAGGCGGUUCGGUAAGUCUGCUGUGAAAGUCCAGGGCUCAACCCUGGGAUGCCGGUGGAUACUGCUGAACUAGAGUGCGGAAGAGGCGAGUGGAAUUCCCGGUGUAGCGGUGAAAUGCGCAGAUAUCGGGAGGAACACCAAUUGCGAAGGCAGCUCGCUGGGACGUUACUGACGCUGAGACGCGAAAGCGUGGGGAGCAAACAGG
rnacentral:rRNA from 1 species